UGGGCUCGGUUUGGGGCAGACUUGGUUCUGAGGUAACUGUUGUUGAGUUUGGACCUGAUAUUGUCCCAUCAAUGGACUCGGAAAUCCGCAAGCAGUUUCAGCGUUCCCUUGAGAAGCAAGGGAUGAAGUUCAUGCUCAAAACAAAGGUGGUCGGAGUUGAUACCUCUGGAGAUGGUGUGAAGUUGACCCUUGAACCAGCAUCCGGUGGUGACCAGACUUCUUUUGAAGCUGAUGUCGUUCUUGUCUCUGCUGGUAGGGUUCCAUUCACAUCCGGGCUUGAUUUGGACAAGAUAGGAGUUGAAAUGGACAAGGGAGGGAGAAUUUUAGUGAAUGAGAGGUUUUCUACAAAUGUCUCGGGUGUUUAUGCAAUCGGAGAUGUUAUUCCUGGACCUAUGUUGGCCCACAAGGCAGAAGAGGAUGGGGUUGCAUGUGUGG
rnacentral:lncRNA from 1 species